rnacentral:pre_miRNA from 1 species
CUUGUACUCCCUCUGUCCGAAAAUACUUGUCAUUGAAAUGGAUGUAUCUAGAUGUAUUUUAGUUCUAGACACAUCCAUUUUGAUGACAAGUAUUUCCGGAUGGAGGGAGUACUUG